GCUGUAGUUCUGUGGUAGAUUGUCUGCUUUGCAUGCAGGUGUCCCAGGCUCAAUCACCUGGCAUCUCCA